rnacentral:rRNA from 1 species
AGUGAACGCUGGCGGUAGGCCUAACACAUGCAAGUCGAACGGCAGCACAGUAAGAGCUUGCUCUUACGGGUGGCGAGUGGCGGACGGGUGAGGAAUACAUCGGAAUCUACUUUUUCGUGGGGGAUAACGUAGGGAAACUUACGCUAAUACCGCAUACGACCUACGGGUGAAAGCAGGGGAUCUUCGGACCUUGCGCGAUUGAAUGAGCCGAUGUCGGAUUAGCUAGUUGGCGGGGUAAAGGCCCACCAAGGCGACGAUCCGUAGCUGGUCUGAGAGGAUGAUCUGCCACACUGGAGCUGAGACACGGUCCAGACUCCUACGGGAGGCAGCAGUGGGGAAUAUUGGACAAUGGGCGCAAGCCUGAUCCAGCCAUACCGCGUGGGUGAAGAAGGCCUUCGGGUUGUAAAGCCCUUUUGUUGGGAAAGAAAAGCAGCAGGUUAAUACCCCGCUGUUCUGACGGUACCCAAAGAAUAAGCACCGGCUAACUUCGUG